AAGUGCUAGCCGAGUUACCCGGUGCCAUAUAAACAGAUCACUUUGUCAAACCCGGCUAGGCGAGUAGCUCGCUCAGCCGGGUAACUCGGCUCCAUAUAAACAGGCCCUUAAUCUGAAAUGUGCAAUACAGAAAUAGCCUUUUAUGAUUUUUUUUAACAUUCAGUCAAUUAUUUGACUGGAUGUUAUGAUAUUUAAAAUAUCUACGUACGACAGUGUUUAUGUAUGUCGAGGAUAGUCAUUUUCUGAACGACAUAGUCGACAUUAAAGAAUCAAGUGCACGCUUGAAUUGAAUUGAAACCGAUUAAAGCGUCUGUUGGUUAACAGCUGGGCAGCAGUCAUGAUUAUGACAAAAAAAGUUUCUCUUGGUAGAGAUUUUGAAAAUUUUUGUAUCUACCAGCAAGCAAAGUUCAGAAAGGUGUUAUGAAGAUAAAGUAUAUACCUACGUAUCCAAUGCCAGAUCCCAAAACACCAAGUCACUACAUAAACUCAGUAAAAACAAAGAGAACAAAGAUAUUCUGUGUUACUGGUGUCAUAAAGUUGAAAGGCAAAGUUAUAUGAUUAAAUUGCUCCAUGGGAAAUUUAGGGGAUCAGACAUUUUCCAUUACAUAUGGUUUGUCCAGAUACUAUUCAUGGUAUACACAAUUUACUGGCAUUAAAAGUUUUGCCUGACAUAUUUCAUGCUUAGCUUUAAUAAAUUUUCAAUUUCAGUUAAUGAACAAUUUUGAAGUUGUAAACAAGGCGAUUGUGGAUUGUAGAUAGCAUGUAGAAAUAAGAUUUUUCAGAGUGAAUUGUUUCUCAUGGUCUUUAACCCAAAAUCGCUAGAGAAUGAUUUCCGCUUCUUCAAAAGACGAAAAUACUUUCUAGUUCAUCUAGCUUUGUGAAGUUGUUUGCUGAUUAAUGAAUAAAGUCUUUAACACGCGA